rnacentral:lncRNA from 1 species
CUUAGCAAUGGGCAACACCAAGAGAGGGUUGCCGUCCGAUUUCACGUUGGAGGAAAUGGGUCUGGGUGCUGGGCCCUUCGAUUUGUAGUGAGGCGCGAGCCGUCCAGGUCUAUGGAACCGCCGGUGUCUACUGUAAAGCGUAAUUCCCACGUUACAAUCAGAAAAUCGUAGGUGUGAAGUUAUAAUCUGAACCCAGUCCUUUAAAAAAAAUGAACCCAGAGAAAUGACAGCACCAGUAUUAGUGCGUAGUGCUCCAGCAACGAAAAGAUUGUUUAUG